UACGGAGGGGGCGAGCGUUAUUCGGAAUUAUUGGGCGUAAAGGGCGCGUAGGCGGCUGUACAAGUCAAAGGUGAAAUCCCUCGGCUCAACUGAGGAACUGCCUUUGAAACUGUACGGCUUGAGGCCGGGAGGGGGUAGCGGAAUUCCCAGUGUAGCGGUGAAAUGCGUAGAUACUGGGAGGAACACCAGUGGCGAAGGCGGCUACCUGGACCGGUUCUGACGCUGAGGCGCGAAAAGCGUGGGUAGCAAACAGG
rnacentral:rRNA from 1 species